CCUACGGGGGGCAGCAGUGAGGAAUAUUGGUCAAUGGACGAGAGUCUGAACCAGCCAAGUAGCGUGAAGGAUGACUGCCCUAUGGGUUGUAAACUUCUUUUAUAAAGGAAUAAAACGAGGCACGUGUGCCUUUUUGCAUGUACUUUAUGAAUAAGGAUCGGCUAACUCCGUGCCAGCCGCCGCGGUAAUACGGAGGAUCCGAGCGUUAUCCGGAUUUAUUGGGUUUAAAGGGGGCGUAGAUGGGUUGUUAAGUCAGUUGUGAAAGUUUGCGGCUCAACCGUAAAAUUGCAAUUGAUACUGGCAGUCUUGAGUACAGUUGAGGUAGGCGGAAUGCGUGGUGUAGCGGUGAAAUGCUUAGAGAUCACGAAGAACCCCGAUUGCGAAGGCAGCUUACUAAACUGUGACUGACAUUGAUGCUCGAAAGUGUGGGUAUCAAACAGGAUUAGAUACCCCAGUAGUC
rnacentral:rRNA from 1 species